rnacentral:rRNA from 1 species
GAUGAACGCUGGCGGCGUGCCUAAUACAUGCAAGUCGAGCGAACAGACCAGGCGCUUGCUCCUCUGACGUUAGCGACGGACGGGUGAGUCACACGUGGAUAGCCCACCUAUACGACUUGGAUAACUUCGGGAAACCGGAGCUCAUACCGGAUAAUAUAUUGAACCUCAUGGUUCAAUAGUGAAAUUCGGUUUUGCUGUCGCUUAUAGAUUGAUCCGCGCCGGAUUGGCUAGUUGGCAAGGUAACGGCUUACCAAGGCCGGGAUGCGUAGCCUACCUGAGAGGGGGAUGGGCGACACGGGAACUGAAACACGACCCAGAGUCCUAGGGGAGGCAGCAGUACGGAAUCUUCGGCAAUGGGGGAAAGCCUGACGGAGCAACGCCGCGUGAGUGAUGAAGGUCUUCGGAUCGGAAAACUCUGUUAGUGUGGAAGAACACAUGUGUAAGUAACUAUGCAUGUCUUGACGGUACCUAAUUAAAAAGCCACGGCUAACUACGUG